rnacentral:rRNA from 1 species
GCCUAUUACAUGCAAGUCGAGCGAACGGACGAGAAGCUUGCUUCUCUGAUGUUAGCGGCGGACGGGUGAGUAACACGUGGAUAACCUACCUAUAAGACUGGGAUAACUUCGGGAAACCGGAGCUAAUACCGGAUAAUAUUUUGAACCGCAUGGUUCAAAAGUGAAAGACGGUCUUGCUGUCACUUAUAGAUGGAUCCGCGCUGCAUUAGCUAGUUGGUAAGGUAACGGCUUACCAAGGCAACGAUGCAUAGCCGACCUGAGAGGGUGAUCGGCCACACUGGAACUGANACACGGUCCAGACUCCUACGGGAGGCAGCAGUAGGGAAUCUUCCGCAAUGGGCGAAAGCCUGACGGAGCAACGCCGCGUGAGUGAUGAAGGUCUUCGGAUCGUAAAACUCUGUUAUUAGGGAAGAACAUAUGUGUAAGUAACUGUGCACAUCUUGACGGUACCUAAUCAGAAAGCCACGGCUAACUACGUGCCAGCAGCCGCGGUAAUACGUAGGUGGCAAGCGUUAUCCGGAAUUAUUGGGCGAAAACCGCGCGUAGGUGCUUUUUUUGUCUGAUGUGAAAGCCCACGGCUCCGCCGUGGAGGGUCUUUGUAAACUGGAAUACUUGAUCGCAGAACAGAAAAGUGGAUUUCCAUGUGUCGCGAGGGAAAGGAAGAACCUUACCAAAUCUUGACAUCCUUUGACAAAUCUAGAGAUAGAGCGUUCCCCUUCGGGGGACAAAGUGACAGGUGGUGCAUGGUUGUCGUCAGCUCGUGUCGUGAGAUGUUGGGUUAAGUCCCGCAACGAGCGCAACCCUUAAGCUUAGUUGCCAUCAUUAAGUUGGGCACUUUAAGGUGACUGCCGGUGACAAACCGGAGGAAGGUGGGGAUGACGUCAAAUCAUCAUGCCCCUUAUGAUUUGGGCUACACACGUGCUACAAUGGACAAUACAAAGGGCAGCGAAACCGCGAGGUCAAGCAAAUCCCAUAAAGUUGUUCUCAGUUCGGAUUGUAGUCUGCAACUCGACUACAUGAAGCUGGAAUCGCUAGUAAUCGUAGAUCAGCAUGCUACGGUGAAUACGUUCCCGGGUCUUGUACACACCGCCCGUCACACCACGAGAGUUUGUAACACCCGAAGCCGGUGGAGUAACCUUUUAGGAGCUAGCCGUCGAAG